UGUGACCUCAAAUCAGGUAGGACUACCCG
rnacentral:rRNA from 2 species